CAGGGCUCCAGGUCUGGAAACAAACAGCACACAUGGCCCAUGAUUCUGAAGGAAGCCUGCUAUGGGAGAAAACCAAGAAGUCCUCACUGCACCUGCUCCUCCGCCUCCACCCAAGGCUUCCAUAGCACAGCUGCAGCCUCUGUGGAGACCUGUGUGAGCAGGUGAGGGCUUAAAAUAGAUGCCCUGCUCUACCUUCUUCUGCUGGUUGCUGAUGUUACAUCACCUUCAUUUGAGAACAUCCUCCUACAUACUCGUCUCAACCACCAAGUGAGAAGCAGAAACCUAUGAUUACAGUUGAAUUGUACAACCAGC
rnacentral:lncRNA from 1 species